UGGGGAAUUUUGGACAAUGGGCGCAAGCCUGAUCCAGCAAUGCCGCGUGCAGGAUGAAGGCCUUCGGGUUGUAAACUGCUUUUGUACGGAACGAAAAGCCCUGGGUUAAUACCCUGGGGUCAUGACGGUACCGUAAGAAUAAGCACCGGCUAACUACGUGCCAGCAGCCGCGGUAAUACGUAGGGUGCGAGCGUUAAUCGGAAUUACUGGGCGUAAAGCGUGCGCAGGCGGUUUUGUAAGACAGAGGUGAAAUCCCCGGGCUCAACCUGGGAACUGCCUUUGUGACUGCAAGGCUAGAGUACGGCAGAGGGGGAUGGAAUUCCGCGUGUAGCAGUGAAAUGCGUAGAUAUGCGGAGGAACACCGAUGGCGAAGGCAAUCCCCUGGGCCUGUACUGACGCUCAUGCACGAAAGCGUGGGGAGCAAACAGG
rnacentral:rRNA from 5 species